CCUACGGGGGGCUGCAGUGGGGAAUAUUGGACAAUGGGGGGAACCCUGAUCCAGCCAUGCCGCGUGUGUGAAGAAGGCCCUCGGGUUGUAAAGCACUUUCAGUGAGGAAGAACGCCUGGUGGUUAAUACCCAUCAGGAAAGACAUCACUCACAGAAGAAGCACCGGCUAACUCCGUGCCAGCAGCCGCGGUAAUACGGAGGGUGCGAGCGUUAAUCGGAAUUACUGGGCGUAAAGCGCGCGUAGGUGGCUUGAUAAGCCGGUUGUGAAAGCCCCGGGCUCAACCUGGGAACGGCAUCCGGAACUGUCAAGCUAGAGUGCAGGAGAGGAAGGUAGAAUUCCCGGUGUAGCGGUGAAAUGCGUAGGGAUCGGGAGGAAUACCAGUGGCGAAGGCGGCCUUCUGGACUGACACUGACACUGAGGUGCGAAAGCGUGGGUAGCAAACAGGAUUAGCUACCCCGGUAGUC
rnacentral:rRNA from 1 species